UACGGAGGGUGCAAACGUUGCUCGGAAUCAUUGGGCGUAAAGCGCACGUAGGCGGCCGAUUAAGUCGGGUGUGAAAACCCGAGGCUCAACCUCGGGACGUCGGCGGAAACCAUUUGGCUAGAGUCCGGAAGAGGAGAGUGGAAUUCCCGGUGUAGCGGUGAAAUGCGCAGAUAUCGGGAAGAACACCCGUGGCGAAGGCGGCUCUCUGGGACGGUACUGACGCUGAGACGCGAAAGCGUGGGGAGCGAACAGG
rnacentral:rRNA from 1 species